UACGAAGGGGGCUAGCGUUGUUCGGAAUUACUGGGCGUAAAGCGCGUGUAGGCGGGUCUUUUAAGUCAGGGGUGAAAUGCCAAGGCUCAACCUUGGAACUGCCUUUGAUACUGGAGAUCUUGAGUCCGGGAGAGGUGAGUGGAACUGCGAGUGUAGAGGUGAAAAUUCGUAGAUAUUCGCAAGAACACCAGUGGCGAAGGCGGCUCACUGGCCCGGUACUGACGCUGAGGUGCGAAAGCGUGGGGAGCAAACAGGGAU
rnacentral:rRNA from 1 species